rnacentral:rRNA from 1 species
UAUUGGUCAAUGGCCGGAAGGCUGAACCAGCCAAGUCGCGUGAGGGAAUAAGGCCCUACGGGUCGUAAACCUCUUUUGUCAGGGAGAAAGGCCGUCCACGAGUGGACGGAAGGAGAGUACCUGAAGAAAAAGCAGCGGCGAACCCCGUGCCGGCAGCCGCGGUAAUACGGAGGAUGCGAGCGUUAUCCUGAUUUAUUGGGUUUAAAGGGUGCGUAGGCGGCCUGCCAAGUCAGCGGUAAAAUUGCAGGGCUCCACCCCGUAGAGCCGUUGAAACUGCCGGGCUCGAGUGGGCGAGAAGUAUGCGGAAUGCGUGGUGUAGCGGUGAAAUGCAUAGAUAUCACGCAGAACCCCGAUUGCGAAGGCAGCAUACCGGCGCCCUACUGACGCUGAGGCACGAAAGUGCGGGGAUCA